rnacentral:lncRNA from 1 species
CUAGAAACGAUUCUGUUGACCGUUUUAUGUGUGGAUUAAUUGGUGUAGUAGAGGACCUUGUGCGUUUCAGCGCCUCCAUCGAGCAGAGCAGCCGUCGCUAUUAACCCCGAAAGUGUGCUGGGAACCCCUGCAGAGAAGGCUCUAUUUGAAUGGAAAUAGGAGGGUUGAUCGGAUCUGCAUGAGAACCCCUACCUCUGCUGGAUGUCUCUCCAGUGUGUGAUGGGCUGCGCUGUCUCUCUGCCUGCAGUAGGGAGAGGGAUACUGCUGUGAGAAGUACCAGACUAAUCACAUGAAAAGUGGGUAAAAGAUAAUCGCUGAAUACAAGGUGUAGAUGGAAGCCCUUAUCCACUGAUGGAAAUGUAUGGGGGGGGGUUAUCUGAUCCUAGAUCUGUGGUAAGG